GAUAGCAGCAGCAGCAACCGCCGUGGCCCCAACUGCAGAGCCACCAGCCGCCAUCCCGUGCCGGGCUCCUCGGGCCCGGACACCAGGUAGCAGGCUCUUGGCACCUGGGUCCUCUGGACUGCAUCCUCCACCUUCUCCUCUGGUGCCCCCGGCUCUGGAGGAAGGACAGGAAGGGCCAAGGUGACCAGUGGGCCCAGAAAACUAGAAUGCCAGCCUGCAGGAGCAACACCACACUUGAGCCUAAGUCUUGAGUCCUCAUGGGUGAAGGCCUCAUGGCUCCAGCUGGCUGGCAGUUGCGUGAAGAAAGACCUGGACCUUCUCCCCCUUCUUCCCAGCCAGCCCCCGUCCUCCACUUUCCUGGGGAUGCUGUGUGCAGCCCUGAACAAUCUGCUUAGCAAUACAGAUCACAGACACGCAGGCUCUGUGGAACACCUUCACCCUGAGGGGCAUAUUGUUGGCAAAGUCUAUACUUGCAGCAGUACAAUGGAGUGUGGACAUGAGAACCAGGCUGACUGUGAAUCAUGGCUCCCUGCUGCUUACUAAGUGAGCCUCAGUUUCUUCAUCUGUAGUAUCAGAAUGAUGAUAUAGCGAGCCAUCCCUCACCUGACCUAUGAUGAUGAAGUGAGUCAUUAUGUAUAUAAGCACUUGGCGAGAGAUUAAAUCCCAGGGUUAACUGUUA